rnacentral:lncRNA from 1 species
UUCACAAAGCUUUCUCUUAGUAAACCACUUGAAACACAAUUAAGUUGAGAAAUCAAAACUUUUUUUUCAAUGCAAGAAAAACAAUGUAUACUAACUAAUUAACAAAGCUAGACGGUUUAUCACAAACUUAACAAAAAUAAGCAUGCAAAGCGUCACUAACUAAGCAAAAGAAAAACAAUUACAAACAAGUAACAAUUACUAAUCAAGAAAUUGC